rnacentral:rRNA from 1 species
UAGAGUUUGAUCCUGGCUCAGAUUGAACGCUGGCGGCAGGCCUAACACAUGCAAGUCGAGCGGAUGAGGGGAGCUUGCUCCCUGAUUUAGCGGCGGACGGGUGAGUAAUGCCUAKGAAUCUGCCUGGUAGUGGGGGAUAACGUUCCGUAAAGGAACGCUAAUACCGCAUACGUCCUACGGGAGAAAGCAGGGGACCUUCGGGCCUUGCGCUAUCAGAUGAGCCUAGGUCGGAUUAGCUAGUUGGUGAGGUAAUGGCUCACCAAGGCGACGAUCCGUAACUGGUCUGAGAGGAUGAUCAGUCACACUGGAACUGAGACACGGUCCAGACUCCUACGGGAGGCAGCAGUGGGGAAUAUUGGACAAUGGGCGAAAGCCUGAUCCAGCCAUGCCGCGUGUGUGAAGAAGGUCUUCGGAUUGUAAAGCACUUUAAGUUGGGAGGAAGGGCAUUAACCUAAUACGUUAGUGUUUUGACGUUACCAACAGAAUAAGCACCGGCUAACUUCGUGCCAGCAGCCGCGGUAAUACGAAGGGUGCAAGCGUUAAUCGGAAUUACUGGGCGUAAAGCGCGCGUAGGUGGUUCGUUAAGUUGGAUGUGAAAGCCCCGGGCUCAACCUGGGAACUGCAUCCAAAACUGGCGAGCUAGAGUACGGUAGAGGGUGGUGGAAUUUCCUGUGUAGCGGUGAAAUGCGUAGAUAUAGGAAGGAACACCAGUGGCGAAGGCGACCACCUGGACUGAUACUGA